rnacentral:rRNA from 1 species
GACGAACCGUGCAAACGUUGUUCGGAAUCACUGGGCUUAAAGGGCGCGUAGGCGGGUCUCCUAGUCUGUGGUGAAAUCCUCCAGCUUAACUGGAGAAGUGCCGUGGAUACUGGAGACCUCGAGGAGGGUAGGGGCAUCUGGAACGGUCGGUGGAGCGGUGAAAUGCGUUGAUAUCGACCGGAACUCCGGUGGCGAAGGCGAGGUGCUGGGCCCUUUCUGACGCUGAUGCGCGAAAGCCAGGGGAGCAAACGGG